GGCACUUUGGCGGAGUGGUUAACGCGCUGGCCUGCUAGUCCUCAAAAGGGAAAGUCAGCCAGUUCCUUCGGGAGCGUGUGUUCGAAUCACACAGGUGUCG